GACAGAGGGGGCAAGCGUUGCUCGGAAUCACUGGGCGUAAAGGGCGCGUAGGCGGGAUGGCAAGUCGGUCGUGAAAUCUCUCGGCUCAACCGAGAAACGUCGGCCGAUACUGCCGUUCUUGAGGGAUGCAGAGGAGACUGGAAUUCCCGGUGUAGCGGUGAAAUGUGUAGAGAUCGGGAGGAACACCGGUGGCGAAGGCGGUUCUCUGGACAGUUCCUGACGCUGAGGCACGAAGGUCAGGGGAGCAAACGGG
rnacentral:rRNA from 1 species